GUGCCCCCUUCAGCAGCACAUAUACUAAAAUUGCAAUGAUAUAGAGAAUGUCAGCAGGGCCCCUGCACAAGGAUGACACCCAAAUUUGUGAAGCAGUCCUAUAUAUAUUUUU
ensembl:snRNA U6 U6 spliceosomal RNA